rnacentral:rRNA from 1 species
UGCCUUACACAUGCAAGUCGAACGGCAGCACGGGGGCAACCCUGGUGGCGAGUGGCGAACGGGUGAGUAAUACAUCGGAACGUGUCCUGUAGUGGGGGAUAGCCCGGCGAAAGCCGGAUUAAUACCGCAUACGCUCUACGGAGGAAAGGGGGGGAUCUUAGGACCUCCCGCUACAGGGGCGGCCGAUGGCAGAUUAGCUAGUUGGUGGGGUAAAGGCUCACCAAGCCAACGAUCUGUAGCUGGUCUGAGAGGACGACCAGCCACACUGGGACUGAGACACGGCCCAGACUCCUACGGGAGGCAGCAGUGGGGAAUUUUGGACAAUGGGCGCAAGCCUGAUCCAGCCAUGCCGCGUGCAGGAAGAAGGCCUUCGGGUUGUAAACUGC